rnacentral:rRNA from 1 species
AGACCCGAAACCCGGUGAUCUAGCCAUGGGCAGGUUGAAGGUUGGGUAACACUAACUGGAGGACCGAACCGACUAAUGUUGAAAAAUUAGCGGAUGACCUGUGGCUGGGGGUGAAAGGCCAAUCAAACCGGGAGAUAGCUGGUUCUCCCCGAAAGCUAUUUAGGUAGCGCCUCGUGAAUUCAUCUCCGGGGGUAGAGCACUGUUUCGGCUAGGGGGCCAUCCCGGCUUACCAACCCGAUGCAAACUGCGAAUACCGGAGAAUGUUAUCACGGGAGACACACGGCGGGUGCUAACGUCCGUCGUGAAGAGGGAAACAACCCAGACCGCCAGCUAAGGUCCCAAAGUCAUGGUUAAGUGGGAAACGAUGUGGGAAGGCCCAGACAGCCAGGAUGUUGGCUUAGAAGCAGCCAUCAUUUAAAGAAAGCGUAAUAGCUCACUGGUCGAGUCGGCCUGCGCGGAAGAUGUAACGGGGCUAAACCAUGCACCGAAGCUGCGGCAGCGACGCUGAUGCGUUGUUGGGUAGGGGAGCGUUCUGUAAGCCUGCGAAGGUGGCCUGUGAGGGUUGCUGGAGGUAUCAGAAGUGCGAAUGCUGACAUAAGUAACGAUAAAGCGGGUGAAAAGCCCGCUCGCCGGAAGACCAAGGGUUCCUGUCCAACGUUAAUCGGGGCAGGGUGAGUCGACCCCUAAGGCGAGGCCGAAAGGCGUAGUCGAUGGGAAACGGGUUAAUAUUCCCGUACUUGGUGUUACUGCGAAGGGGGGACGGAGAAGGCUAUGUUGGCCGGGCGACGGUUGUCCCGGUUUAAGCGUGUAGGUGUGUGUUCCAGGUAAAUCCGGUUCACUUUAACACUGAGGCGUGAUGACGAGGCACUACGGUGCUGAAGCAACAAAUGCCCUGCUUCCAGGAAAAGCCUCUAAGCAUCAGGUAACAUCAAAUCGUACCCCAAACCGACACAGGUGGUCAGGUAGAGAAUACCAAGGCGCUUGAGAGAACUCGGGUGAAGGAACUAGGCAAAAUGGUGCCGUAACUUCGGGAGAAGGCACGCUGACACGUAGGUGAAGUGAUUUACUCACGGAGCUGAAGUCAGUCGAAGAUACCAGCUGGCUGCAACUGUUUAUUAAAAACACAGCACUGUGCAAACACGAAAGUGGACGUAUACGGUGUGACGCCUGCCCGGUGCCGGAAGGUUAAUUGAUGGGGUCAGCGCAAGCGAAGCUCCUGAUCGAAGCCCCGGUAAACGGCGGCCGUAACUAUAACGGUCCUAAGGUAGCGAAAUUCCUUGUCGGGUAAGUUCCGACCUGCACGAAUGGCGUAAUGAUGGCCAGGCUGUCUCCACCCGAGACUCAGUGAAAUUGAACUCGCUGUGAAGAUGCAGUGUACCCGCGGCAAGACGGAAAGACCCCGUGAACCUUUACUAUAGCUUGACACUGAACAUUGAGCCUUGAUGUGUAGGAUAGGUGGGAGGCUUUGAAGCGUGGACGCCAGUCUGCGUGGAGCCGACCUUGAAAUACCACCCUUUAAUGUUUGAUGUUCUAACGUGGACCCGUUACCCGGGUUGCGGACAGUGUCUGGUGGGUAGUUUGACUGGGGCGGUCUCCUCCUAAAGAGUAACGGAGGAGCACGAAGGUUGGCUAAUCCUGGUCGGACAUCAGGAGGUUAGUGCAAUGGCAUAAGCCAGCUUGACUGCGAGCGUGACGGCGCGAGCAGGUGCGAAAGCAGGUCAUAGUGAUCCGGUGGUUCUGAAUGGAAGGGCCAUCGCUCAACGGAUAAAAGGUACUCCGGGGAUAACAGGCUGAUACCGCCCAAGAGUUCAUAUCGACGGCGGUGUUUGGCACCUCGAUGUCGGCUCAUCACAUCCUGGGGCUGAAGUAGGUCCCAAGGGUAUGGCUGUUCGCCAUUUAAAGUGGUACGCGAGCUGGGUUUAGAACGUCGUGAGACAGUUCGGUCCCUAUCUGCCGUGGGCGCUGGAGAACUGAGGGGGGCUGCUCCUAGUACGAGAGGACCGGAGUGGACGCAUCACUGGUGUUCGGGUUGUCAUGCCAAUGGCACUGCCCGGUAGCUAAAUGCGGAAGAGAUAAGUGCUGAAAGCAUCUAAGCACGAAACUUGCCCCGA